CCACCCUGGCGCAUGGCGGAAAACUCAUUUUCCACCCCGCGCAAAGUUUAUUUUCGUAUUUUGCACGUCUCAUUUUUAAACAAUGUGCCAGGAGGUGUGGCAAUGAACAACCUAGGGAGUGGUCCGGCGCAUUGUCUAAAAAUCAUACACUACCGAAAAUGCAUUACGCCACUUACCAAGAGAAACCUGGUCAGAAGUCCAUGGCGAGUUACAGUGGUGCAAUGUAA